UUCUCCACACUUAAUCAUUUAUUCAUGUUUUUAAAUUCUCUCUUAUUGAACUAACCUUCCAACUCCCUCUCUUUCUACUCCUAUAUAAAUCACUUCCUCAAAGGUUUAAUCGAACCGUUCUCUACAGCAUCCAUUCGAUGACAAUGACCGAUGGCCGAAAUUGAUUCAACAUCCGACAAGUCUCCUAUUGCAUUUUAUUUCGUCGACAUAUCACCAGGGCCAUCGGACUCGGGAUUACGCUUUAGUUUGAUCCAUUUCUGGGAGGCCAAAAACACUGCCAGUGGCAGGAGCUGCUAAUCCUCAACGAACAGGGCACUGUGAUGCAAGGUUUCAUUUCAUCAAAUCUUAGAGGAACUGGUCUUGUAAUUAUAGGAUUUUCAAAAUGUUCUUGACUGAGAUAUAUCUGUUUUGUUAUACACUGGAGAUUGUUGACCAAAACGAACCCAAGCUUUAUCUGCAGUGGCAUAC